AUACGUAGGGGGCGAGCGUUGUCCGGAAUGAUUGGGCGUAAAGGGCGCGUAGGCGGCUUUGCAAGUCAGUAGUGGAAGUCCAUUUUUCAAGGAUGGAAGUGCUACAGAAACUGCGGAGCUUGAGUGCAGGAGAGGUUAGCGGAAUUCCCGGUGUAGCGGUGAAAUGCGUAGAGAUCGGGAGGAACACCAGUGGCGAAGGCGGGUAACUGGACUGCAACUGACGCUGAGGCGCGAAAGUGUGGGGAGCAAACAGGAUUAGAUUCCCUGGUAGUCCACACUGUAAACGAUGAAUGCUAGGUGUAGGAGGUAUCGACCCCUUCUGUGCCGCAGUAAACACAGUAAGCAUUCCGCCUGGGGAGUACGGUCGCAAGAUUAAAACUCAAAGGAAUUGACGGGG
rnacentral:rRNA from 1 species